CAGCAGCCGCGGGAAUACAGAGGGUGCGAGCGUUAAUCGGAUUUACUGGGCGUAAAGCGUGCGUAGGCGGCUUCUUAAGUCGGAUGUGAAAUCCCUGAGCUUAACUUAGGAAUUGCAUUCGAUACUGGGAAGCUAAAGUAUGGGAGAGGAUGGUAGAAUUCCAGGUGUAGCGGUGAAAUGCGUAGAGAUCUGGAGGAAUACCGAUGGCGAAGGCAGCCAUCUGGCCUAAUACUGACGCUGAGGUACGAAAGCAUGGGGAGCAAACAGGAUUAGAUACCCGAGUAGUCCCUGUCUCUUAUAC
rnacentral:rRNA from 1 species